rnacentral:rRNA from 1 species
UACGUAGGGGGCAAGCGUUGUCCGGAUUUAUUGGGCGUAAAGAGCGUGUAGGCGGCCUGAAAGGUCAGCUGUGAAAACUCGAGGCUCAACCUCGAGACGUCGGUUGAAACCAUCUGGCUAGAGUCCGGAAGAGGAGUGUGGAAUUCCCGGUGUAGCGGUGAAAUGCGCAGAGAUCCGGAGGAACACCAGUGGCGAAGGCGGCUCGCUGGGCUCUACCUGACGCUGAGGCGCGAAAGCGUGGGGAGCGAACCGGG